rnacentral:sRNA from 1 species
UUUAAAAAAUUGUAUUGGGAAAAUAUCGUGUAAUUUUUCAAAUUAUAUUGGUAAAACCAGACGAUACGCCUGUUUUCCCACGCUAUAUAAGAUUUUAAAAGGUCCAAUAUAUUUGGAUUUAAAUUUGGCGUUCCUUUUUAAUUUAAUAUUGCGAAUGGAUAAUCGUAUCCAAUUACCUCGUUUAAAUUCCAUAGGCUUGUAUUUUUUGUUAUAAUGUUUUUUAUAUUAUUCCAUUAUUUAAAUCCAUUUUUUUCGCAAAUCUUCCCUCAAUUUGGUAAAUUUUUUAAACCUGUUUUGCAUUGUUGGUAUAAUUUUUAUCCCCCCUUUUAAUAAUACGUCCUCGGGUUUCAAAUGGAAAUUUCCAUUUUUUCCCAUAAACGCCAUUAUAGGUAAUAUGCCUAUUAUUUUUUAAAAUGCGUUAUUAUAAACGUAUUUAAUUGUGGGCAAAAACUGGGCCCAAAUAUUUUAUUGCUCCCCUGCGUAAUAUUUGAAAUACUGUUUAAUAAUUUAAUUAAAUUUUUCGGUUUGCCCGUUUAUUUGCGGAUAAAAUGCUGUAAAUAUACGUUUUUUAAUAUUUAAUUUAUAAUAUAAUUCUUUCCAAAAUUCACUCGUAAACAAUUUAUCUUUGUCGGUAAUAAUGCCCAAUAAAAGUCCAUAACGGCAUUUAAUUUUUUUGGUAAAAAAUUAAACAAAUUCGGAAAUAUCCAUAUCGUUUUUAAUGGGUAAAAACCGCGCCAUUUUGGUCAAUUUGUUUACCAUAGUUAAAAUUGCGUCCACCGUGGUAAAAUUGUGCUCCAUAUCGGGCAAUCCGAUAAUAAAAUCCAAAAAUAUUUCGUCCCAGGCUUUGCUGGGUAGGGGCAAUGGUUGCAAUAUACCGUAUUGGCGGUAUUUAAUCGGUUUUACUAUUACGCAAAUGUUGCACGAUUUUAAAUACCAGUUAAUAUUAUCCUUUAUUUGUUCCCAAUAAUAUUUUUUUUAAAUUAGUUUCAAAAUUUUAACAAUUCCCCAAUAUCCCGCAUAUGGGUCGUUAUAAUAAAAUUCCAAAAACUCCUUCCUCACGUUACCGUUUAUUGGCACGUAAAAUUUCGAUUUGUAACAAAAAAUAUUAUUUGGCGUUACAAUCCAAUUAUUUCUUAUUUUUUUGCGAAAUUGCUGUAAUUUUUCGUCACUUUGUUGCAAAUUUUUAAUUAAAUUUUUAAUGGGUUUUAAAGGUGCAUAAUAAGGGGUUUUUGCCUUUAUUGCAUCCCUCGCUUUCCCACGGGUAACCAUAUAUAUUUUCGCAUAUAAUCGACCCAAAAAAGGUAAAAUAGCCUGUUUAGGCUGCGAAACCCCUGCGGAUAAAUAAAAAUUACCAAAUUUUUCUUUAUUUUAACCCCGUAUUAACAAUUUUUUUUGCAAUAGGGGUAAAAGGCCGUCCAUAGCAAUAAACAUUUUAUAAUUAGGCCGCCUCGACGGCCCGUUAACAGGAUUUUAUUUCCCUGCACGGUAAACAAUUUCAAAAUUAAAAAAAAACAAAUAUAUUAUCCAACGCGCCUAUCUCCCAUUAAAUUUGGGUAUUUUUAUAAAAUUUUGCAAAUUUUAAUAAUUUAUAACCAUAAUUAUUGGCGAUACGCUACCUUUUAAAUAAUAUUUUUAACAUUUAAAAAUUUCGAUUAUA